ACUUUGAAGCACAGACGCCAGUUUGUGUGGAGUCGUUGUUGAAAUACCACUCUGAUCGUAUUGGACACCUAACGUCGAACCCUUAUCGGGUUCACGGACAGUGCCUGGCGGGUAGUUUAACUGGGGCGGUUGCCUCCUAAAAUGUAACGGAGGCGCCCAAAGGUUCCCUCAACCUGGACGGCAAUCAGGUGGCGAGUGUAAGUGCACAAGGGAGCUUGACUGCGAGACUUACAAGUCAAGCAGGGACGAAAGUCGGGACUAGUGAUCCGGCACCCCCGAGUGGAAGGGGUGUCGCUCAACGGAUAAAAGGUACCCCGGGGAUAACAGGCUGAUCUUCCCCAAGAGUCCAUAUCGACGGGAUGGUUUGGCACCUCGAUGUCGGCUCGUCGCAUCCUGGGGCUGGAGCAGGUCCCAAGGGUUGGGCUGUUCGCCCAUUAAAGCGGCACGCGAGCUGGGUUUAGAACGUCGUGAGACAGUUCGGUCUCUAUCCGCCGCGCGCGUCAGAAACUUGAGGAAACCUGUCCCUAGUACGAGAGGACCGGGACGGACGAACCUCUGGUAUACCAGUUGUCCCACCAGGGCACGGCUGGAUAGCCACGUUCGGACAGGAUAACCGCUGAAAGCAUCUAAGCGGGAAACCUUCUCCAAGAUCAGGUUUCUCACCCUUUUAGAGGGAUAAGGCCCCCCGCAGACCACGGGAUUGAUAGGCCAGACCUGGAAGCUCAGUAAUGAGUGCAGGGAACUGGCACUAACCGGCCGAAAACUUACCAACACACAACUCG
rnacentral:rRNA from 1 species